rnacentral:snoRNA from 1 species
AAGCCAGUCAAUGAAUCUGCGUACCUGAAUGUGUUUUUGCAGAAAUCAGUAAAUGCUGGCAAUAGGAAAGCCAUGUUACGAGCCUUAAAGACAUUGAAGUUUUUAAGGUCCCUGAAAAUGGCAACAAGA